rnacentral:lncRNA from 10 species
GUAUGACACUCACAGUGAAAGCACAAAACAUCAAGCCAACAGUUCAGGACUAGUCAUUCAAAUGGACUAAAGGUGGGGGAGAAAAAAUAAGAGUGGAUAAAAGAAAGAAAGAAAACAGAGAAAGGUGGGAAAAAAAAAACAAAGGAAGGAAGAGAGAAAAGAGAAUGAGAGGAAGAGAAGGAAGGGGAAAAACAAGAUUGACUUUACAGUAUGAGAUAUACUAUUAUAUAUUGGACCCUUGGUGGGCAGUGCCUAAACAGAGACAACUACAGGUUUCUGGCUGUGGCCACUCUCUGGUGAAACUAAGGGGUUUCUGUGUGGAGGUGCCUAACAGCCACCGUCCAGUUUGGGUAAAGAAAGCUUUUUAUGGUUCACUAAGGACAAUCAACCCCUUCGCAAUCUAGAACCAAAAGACUGGAUCUUCUGAGAACAUCUACUUAGUAUGAUGCCUCUGGCUUCCCUCUAUCACACGUCUUCUUUUCGAGUAAAGGUUUUUCAUAAAUGUGAGCGUGGAAGAAGAAACCAGAUGGUGUCAGAAGCGGAUCCGAAGUGGAACUUUUAGUGACCCUCAGGAGCACUGAAUGAACAUGCAAGGAACCUGCAGGACCCACUUGUGUCCAUUGAUCUCUGGGAGCAGCUGGGAUAAGCUCCUUUUCGGAUUUCAGAGCUCCAUGGACUUGUGUCUUGAGAUCCCUGAGUUUCUUUGAGCAAAUUUCUGAUCCAAAAUGGGUUUGGCAUCAUGGCAGAAACAGGACUGGGUCCACGAAUGGAUUUGAUCCAGGAAUGAACUGGCUUGGAUCCAGUCAGAGGUCUCUUACAUCUGACUGGGUCAGAAAGGAACUGGUAGUAAGCAGUAAUAUUGCAGAGGAUGGUGUGGCAAGCUGAGUCACUAAGGCUGCUCAGGGAAAGGGAACCCAGAAUCUUGGCAUGCCGGCAAAAGGCCCAUGGUUCACUGAGGACAACUCCUUUGCAAUCUAGAACCCAAAGAUUGGAUCUUCUGAGAACAUCAGAGAAAGACUGUCCUUGCCAUCCACACUACAGCAAAGCUUUGGAGCCUUGAACCUUGGGUUCAUGAUCUUACAACUGAGAAGGGCCCCUCCACACUCCUGAACUGUACAACCAUUGAAACUCUUAAGGUAAAAUUAACUAGGAAAGUUUAUCUCCUUAAGAAGAUGGCAUCCUUGAUGUGAACAGCUUUUCCCAAGAUCCUGGAUCAAAACGUCUACUAUCACGAGACUCUUAUAUUUGAAUAUAUUUUCCGGUUUAUGCCUUUAGGAACAAUUGAAAUGAAAGGGGGAUCUAUUAUGUGCACUUAUAGGGUAUACUUUUAUUUGUGAAGGAUUUUGCAUCCAGCCUUAUAUGAAUAACCUUGUACUUUAAUAGAUAAAAGAUGAAGGCUCAAUGUAGGUGAGAAAAUGUAGUGGUACAUAUGUUGCCUCAUAAUCAGUCAAAACUCUUCUUAACCCACAUAAUGGAUUAAAGAGAAUAUUGCCAGGAGGCCUUCGCUUUUCUAAAAUGACAUCAUUUGUUAGGUCCUUUUUCCAUAGUUUAGUAUAAAAGAGGCAAUAAUUAGAAAUGUCACCCUCAUAAUAGGCUCUACAGCAAAUUCUACUUUAAAGGCUAUUGUUACACAACAGACUUUAAAUUAUCUUGUAAAAGUUAUGCUAAAUAAUAGAAUUGGCCAAACAGAAAAGUACCUGUGCAGUUGCUGACACCUGUGGCCUAUGGAGAAAUACAUCAAAUGUAGAUUAUACAAUUUCAGUUGUAGGGGAUUAAUGAAAAGACCACCUAGUCAAGCAAGUAGGCUCUUCAUAUAGCUCAUUCUUUAAUCUAUUUAAUUUUACAUGGUUUGGUUUAUGGGGACCCUGGGUAAGGAGCACACUCCAAAUUUGUUAUUAUUCUCCCAGUACUCAUAAUGAUAGUCUCCCUGAUGUGCUAUAUUCUCUUAAAGGUUUUAAAUGUUUGCAUGCAGCCAUCUCUAGAACAUCAAAUGGUCUCUAUUCAACCAGAAUGACAAAAGCUGAAAGAAAUGUGUGACCCUGAGGAUAUCGUAACCUACGAAUGAUGUGCUGAGACUGGAAACCCUAAAUGAUGUUACUGAGAAUGGCACUAAGGCCUUAAGUUUUGGUCACACUGUCACCUAAGUGAGAACCUGGCUGAAAAGGGAGAAUUUUUAAACAACAAAAUUAGAGGAAGCCACUAUUUUGGACUGAGCUCAUGCACUAGGCCCCAACAAACGAAACCAAGCUAAAAUGGAGUCACUCAUCCUAAAUGUGACAUAAUCAAACCAAGGCUUUAAGAACACAGAUAGAUGCUAGAACAGACUACAUUUUGUUUUUCUCCUGUAAACAGGAUGUCUAUCAUAAGGAGGUACCGUCUACUCAGUCCUUAUUCUCUCCUUGCAAAACCCACUUUUCUACUGUUUCCCAGUGGGUUUCAAACCAUAUAAUACAUUUAUGAUAGUGAUAUUAACAUCAAUGACUAAGGUUUUGGUCAAUCUCUCAAAAUUGAGAAAAUGACCAAAAGAGGGAAAUGAUUGCUAAAGCAAACUAAAUAUGGCCUGGGAAGAACUCCAUAGUCUUAUAUUUGAGUUCUUGCAGAUGAACUGUAACUUAGCUUAAUAGUCAGACAAAACUGAAAACCUAACUUAAUAGUAUGCGUCUGUAACAAUGGCUGAGUGUUCGCUAAUCCCAGCGGCCAUACUUCAACCACUCAUAGACUGCUGAAAGUUCAAAGUGCAUUCAAAUAAGGCAAAAACGGAGCUUAACCAGCCUCACUGUUUCUGUAUCUCACUUCCGAUUCCUGUAUGUCACUUUACCUUUUUUGUCUAUAAAUGUGUUCUGACCACGAGGCACCCCAGGUCUCUGUGAAUCUGUUGUAAUUCUGGAGGUGCCUGAUUCGCCAAUCAUUCAUUGCUCAAUUAAACUCCUUUAAAUUUAACUCAGCUGGACUUUUCCUUUUAUCAGGUUGAAUUUUACAUAUCUACUUUAGAUUUUAAUUUCUUCUAUAAAUUAAAAUCUAAUCUUCCAUAAUUUCUGAUAAAAUGUUUGUUAAAUGAACUCAAUGCAUUGGACAAAAAUUUCCUGUUGCUUUUCUUUCAAAGUACAUAAAUUGAUGCUACUUUUUCCACCUUUCUCACAUUUUCUCUGUCCCAAUCUUACACUGGAGGUUCAAUAGUCUUCUUCAUGCCUCAAGUUCUUUCUCUUGUAAUAUGAAAGGCAUGUGGCCACUUUCCUUUUCUAAUUCUUUCAUAAAUCUAAACAUUUUCACUACCUAUUGGUUACUAUGCUCACCAUCUGGGUGAAGGCAUCAUUUGUACACAAAAUCUAUAAAAUAUACUAUUUACUUAUGUAAAAAACCUAAACAUGUACCUGCUGAACCUAAAAUAAAAGUUGAAAAAGAAAAAUAAAUAAAUAAUACCUUCCCAGAAUAUUGCCUAUAGGAACAAGUCUAAAUUCCUUAAUACAGAGUAAAAUGGUAAUAAAAUUCUUGCCCUGAUUUUCUUUCUUAGGCCUAUGUCAUUUCAACACUCCCCAUCACCAUUCUUCCCCAAUCUCUUCCAUUUUUUGAGUCUAAAAUCCUUAAUACAUUGAAUUUUUGUUCAAUAUUUGUUAUAUGCCCAAAACUAUGCUAAGCUGCUGGACUCGUGCUCUUUCACAAUUCCUUUUCUGUUCCUUUCAGACUAGUGAAAUGAUACUGAUUUUUAAUGAUCUGUCUUUUCUUGGAAAUUUCCUAUUUCCAAAUGUCAAAAAAAGAACUUAUAAUUUUUGUCUCUCCAUUUCCAUAACACUUAUCAAUGUCACUGACAUAGCCCUAAUAAUUAUGAGAUGUACAUUGUUAGUUACACACAUUUCUUGUUUUCCUACUUUUGAUGUCUUUAAGGUCAGAGAUUGUAUUUUACUCGUUUGUAUUCCUAUCAGAAAAAAAACUGUGGCUUACAUGUAAUAUACAUUCAGUAAUUGUUUGAAUGAAAAAUGUAUUAAAAUAGUAUGAGUAUCCAAGUUGGUGAUUCAAUUUAGUUAAUCUCUUCUGAUACCCCUACCCCAAAAAGGCAUAUGUAAAAGUGCAUAAAAUUGUGUGUAUGAAUAUGUAGAUCAAUAGAUAGAAGCAUCUGUGAACACAAAUAAGAAAUUUAGGAAAUGAUUAUCUUAGAAACUCUUUAGCAUCAAAUCUUAUUUAUUUAUUUAUUUAUUUGCUAUAGCUUUUGGGGAAAAGUUGGAUUUUUGUUACAUGGAUAAGUUCUCUUGUAGUAAUUCCUGAGAUUUUGGUGCACACUGUACCCAAUCUGUAUUCUUUAUUCCUCACCCCUCUCCCCGCAUUCCCCUUGAGUCUCUGAAGUCCCUUAUAUCAUUCUUACGCCUUUGCAGCCUCAUAACUUAGCUCCCACUUAUAAGUGAGAUCAUACAAAAUUUGGUUUUCCAUUCCUGAGUUACUUCACUUAGAAUAACUGUUUCCAGCUCCAUCCAGGUUGCUGAAAAUGCCAUUAUUUCAUUCAUUUUUAUGGCUGAGUAGUAUUCCAUGGUGUAUAUAUGCCACCUUUUCUUUAUUUACUCUUUGGCCAGUGGACAUUUAGGCUGAUUUCAUAUUUUUGCAAUUGUGAAUUUUGCUACUAUACACAUGUAUGUGCAAGUGUAUUUUUCAUACAAUGACUUCUUUUCCUCUGGGUAGAGACCCAGUAGUGCGAUUGCUGGAUGAAAUGCUAGUUCUACUUCUAGUUAUUUAAGGAAUCUCCAUACUGUUUUCCAUAUGGGUGGUACUAGUUUACAUUCCCAACAGCAGUAUAAAAGUGUUCCCUUUUCACCAUAUUCACGCUAAUAUUUAUUAUUUUUUAUUUUUAAUUAUGGUCAUUCUUGGAUCUCAUUGUAUUUUCAAUUUGCAUUUCCCUGGUAAUUAGAGAUGUUGAGCAUAUUUUCAUGUUUGUUGGCCAUUUGGAUAACUUUUUCUGAGAAUUGUCUGUUCAUGUCCUUUGCCCACUUUUUAAGUUUAAUUUAAUACUAAUCCUACUAUUAUAUAUAUAUAUAUAAG